rnacentral:rRNA from 1 species
GCGAAGCCCGUGUCAGGGGCUGCGGGAAUGCGUGGGGGGUAGGAGUGUACCGGAUUCACGGGGGUUAAAGGGGGGGGAGGGGGGUAAGUAAGUCCGUGGUGAAAUCUCUGAGCUUAACUCAGAAACGGCCGGGGAUACUAUUUAUCUUGAAUACUGGGGAGGUGAGCGGAAUAUGUCAUGUAGCGGUGAAAUGCUUAGAUAUGACAUAGAACACCAAUUGCGAAGGCAGCUCGCUACACAGUCAUUGACGCUGAGGCACGAAAGCGUGGGGAUCAAACAGGAUUAGAUACCCGUGUAGUC